UACGUAGGGGGCGAGCGUUGUCCGGAUUUAUUGGGCGUAAAGAGCGUGUAGGCGGCCAGGUAGGUCUGCUGUGAAAACUCGAGGCUCAACCUCGAGACGUCGGCGGAAACCAUCUGGCUAGAGUCCGGAAGAGGAGAGUGGAAUUCCUGGUGUAGCGGUGAAAUGCGCAGAUAUCAGGAGGAACACCCGUGGCGAAAGCGGCUCUCUGGGCCUUACCUGACGCUGAGGAGCGAAAGCGUGGGGAGCGAACAGG
rnacentral:rRNA from 1 species